rnacentral:rRNA from 1 species
AGUGAACGCUGGCGGUAGGCCUAACACAUGCAAGUCGAACGGCAGCACAGUAAGAGCUUGCUCUUACGGGUGGCGAGUGGCGGACGGGUGAGGAAUACAUCGGAAUCUACUUUUUCGUGGGGGAUAACGUAGGGAAACUUACGCUAAUACCGCAUAACACCUACGGGUGAAAGCAGGGGAUCUUCGGACCUUGCGCGAUUGAAUGAGCCGAUGUCGGAUUAGCUAGUUGGCGGGGUAAAGGCCCACCAAGGCGACGAUCCGUAGCUGGUCUGAGAGGAUGAUCAGCCACACUGGAACUGAGACACGGUCCAGACUCCUACGGGAGGCAGCAGUGGGGAAUAUUGGACAAUGGGCGAAAGCCUGAUCCAGCCAUACCGCGUGUGUGAAGAAGGCCUUCGGGUUGUAAAGCCCUUUUGUUGGGAAAGAAAAGCAGCAGGUUAAUACCCCGCUGUUAUGACGGUACCGAAAGAAUAAGCACCGGCUAACUUCGUG